AAAGCGGUAAAGUACGGAAAGUAAAGAACACCACGAUGUAUAGUGGUUCCCCUCACAGAUCGAGAGUACUCCAUUCCUCUUUCAACACGAAAGAGAAUUCACUAUAAUGUUAGAUUCCUAGACAAGACACCUUAAGGCCUUUCUAUCUAAUUAUAACACACCAAGAACAAUCCUCUUGGAUUUACAAUGUUUAAAGUCCAAUUGAGACUCAAAUUCUCA
rnacentral:lncRNA from 1 species